GUUCAUCCGUGGUGCAAGAUGGCGCUGCCCUUUGGUCGUUCGCUGUGCUUGUGCCGCUGGGGAGCAAAACGCUUGGGGGUUGCCGCCGUAGAUGCCCGCAGAGGCGUCAGUUUCAAACUGGAAGAAAAGACCGCUCACAGCAGCCUGGCACUCUUCAAAGGUGACACAGGUGUCAAAUACGGCAUGGUGGGAUUAGAGCCCACAAAAUUGGCCCUGAAUGUGGAGCGCUUCCGGGAGUGGGCAGUGGUGUUGGCAGACACAGCGGUUACCAGUGGCAGGCACUACUGGGAGGUGACAGUGAAGCGCUCCCAGCAAUUCCGGAUAGGAGUGGCAGACGUGGAUAUUUCCCGGGAUAGCUGCAUCGGUGUUGACGAUCGUUCCUGGGUGUUCAUCUAUGCUCAGCGCAAGUGGCACACCAUGUUGGCCAACGAGAAAGCCCCUAUUGAGGGCAUUGGGCAGCCAGAGAAGGUGGGGCUGCUGCUGGAGUAUGAGGCCCAGAAGCUGAGCCUGGUGGAUGUGAGCCGGGUUGCUGUGGUCCACACACUACAGACAGAUUUCCGGGGUCCAGUGGUGCCUGCUUUUGCCCUUUGGGAUGGAGAGCUGCUGACUCAUUCGGGGCUUGAGGUGCCUGAAGGCCUCUAGUAUGUCGGUCACUGGAGUCCCUAAUCACGCUCUUGGCCAGCCUCCUGAUCCAAGUGUCUGAAACCUUUUAACUGUGCCCCAAGCAACUGCUAGGUCCCACAAUUCAGUGAUGGGUCCUCUGUGCAAUAUCUGUCAUCUUCCUCUCCCCUACCUUGUGAAAGCUAGGCAUACAGCUACCCUCUCCCCUCCCCCAGACUAUUGCCAGUUUUCUAGGCUACCAUGAAUGUACUUUCUCUGACUUGCUUCCUUCAGUCUCUCUGCCUCCCUGUGCUCAGGACUUUCUCAGACUGUAUUCAGUCCUAGGGUCUUACUUUUCAGCUUUGUUUGAAUUUAUUCAUCACUGUGCUACUUCUCCUUCCCUUUGCCCACAUGUAACCUGUUUGUUUUGGGGGCUCUACCGAAUCUCUCCAGAGUAAAUCCUUUCUACCUCUGGCUGGAGGAGUAGUGCAGUGAAUGAGUUUGCCCUUUCUGUACAGCACAUACAGAGUCUGGGCUCUGGCUCCCUCAGGUAGUGCUUUACUGACUGUGUCAGAAUGAGAACAGAGCCCUCCUUGCCUAAUACCUCAGUGUUACAGACUCUCAGCCCCAGACAGCUGCAGCUCUCCUCACCCUGAGUCCAUCUGCCUUACUUUGCACACCUCUAACACCUGGUCAAUCUGUUGCAAUCAUUGGACCAGUUACAGCCACGACCAAAGGGGAAGAGACGUGGGGAUUAGUACUAGAAACUUUAUUCUUGAGAAGUUCCAUCUUCAUUUCUGCUACAGUUGUAACUUCCAGAGGGAGGAGGGAGGCCUGAAGUCUUGCACAAUCCAUUUUGGGGCCUGUUCAGACCAAAGCACUUGUCCCCACUUGGAGCAGAAUACACUUAACCUAAAGCAGUAUUUGGGAUUGAAGAAAACCUAGUGGGGUGAGUAUGUAUGUGAAAUAUGUAUUCUUUGGGCUCUGUAUGACCCUGUGGUUCCAUCUUACUCUACCUUUAUGAUGGUGAUGCAGCUGGAUGGCCCUAGGGGAGAAAGAGAAAGACUGGGUCUAGCAAAAUAAUAAUUUGUGUAAUUAAAGUUUAUUUGAGCACAAAAUACUUUCUCUGUCUAUAAAAUUGCUGUUAGCAGUAGCAGCACUUCCUGGCCAAGGGGGGCAGAUCUCUCCAGACGACUAAAGCCUGGUGCAUAGCUCCUCUCUUUCUCUGUGGAUAUAUAGAUGUGUGUGGUGGCUAGAGCCCCUUACCAGAGUAUCUCUCUCUCAUAAUGGCAUCUUCAGAGAGAGGAAGAGGGGACCUGCGUGAAGACCUGGGAUGAUCUGGAGUGGGCUAAGCCAUUAGGCUGUCCCUUAAAGAAGCCCACAAUCUUCAUGGAUAGCUCUACUGCAGGAGUCCACAAAGGCACUUCUCUAUACUCUGUCUGCCAAGGGAAUGGGGUAUUUUGACUCUCACUGAAAGCACUGCCCCCCCUACCCCACCCCCUUGAAGCAGUGCGGCCCUCUGUAGCAUGAUUGGUGGUUAUAUGUUAAGUGUGUGGCCAGUUCGUGCUUUUUCUUGUGCAGGGACUGUGCAUGCCCCAUGCUCACACCAUGCUCUCUAAGUUCUCUUUGGACAGGGCCUCAGCUGCUGCUUCAGCCUGAGUCUCAGAUGAUACCUUCAGCUGCAGCAACAUGCAGGGCUGUGCGGGAGUCAUAGUCUUUCUGUUCCAUGUCCAUGGCUGACAAGGCAAACCUAAGAGGAGUGGAAAGUAGCUGGAGUUACCCAGAUCAGCCUAGAAUCACUGGUAUCCUUUCUGAAGUGGGGUCAGACUGGAUGAGUUCCAGAAAAAGCAAAACAGAGCUUAUGCCAAGAUGUGUAGACCGUGUACAGUCUGUGUUCUCUAUCCAGAUGAGACUUACUCCUACGUCAGAGAGAUGGGAGUGUGAUGGUUCCAGAAACAUCACUGCCUACCUGUAGUAGGUGCCCAGUACAUAUUUGUUGAUGUUGGUAAUCCAUUUGAGGCAGGGUCCUUACCAGCCUCCUAGGACUCUGCUUUUAACGCCCAGGUUAAUCAUAACAGUGGCUACCAUUAAGUUCUUAUCACAUGGCAG